ensembl:lncRNA
UCCACAAUGGCCGUGCCUGUGUAGCCGUCGUUUCCGCAGCUGAAGAGGAGCCUUUCCCUAAACAGAUGGUAAAGAAUCUGCCUGCAGUGCAAGAAAACCAGGAUUGAUCCCUGGGUCAGGAGGAUCCCCUGGAAAAGAAUCCUAACAACUUCUCAUUAAAGUGUGGCGUCAAGCUUGGAGUCCAGGAUCCCACAACCUGUAUCAGGUUACACUGAAACUCUGCAGAUACGGCUUCUCAAUUUGGAGACCUGCAAACCAAGAAGCCACCUCCACUUUACCUUGGUUUGAGUGCUUGCCGGUGCCAGGCUCCGGGUCCUGAGUGGCUCUUUGUUGCCUCAAAGACCAAACCCUGUCCAGUCAGACUUGCACAGCUCUCUGUCUUCAUUGGAACUGACUCAUUGGAAGAGACCCUGGUGCUGGGAAAUAUUGAAGGCAAGAGGAGAAGGGGAUGACAGAGGAUGAGAUGGUUGGAUGGCAUCACCAACUCGAUGGACAUGAGUUUGAGCAAGCUCCAGGAGUUGGUGAUGGACAGGGAGGCCUGGCAUGCUGCAGUCCACAGGGUCGCAAAGAGUCAGACACGACUGAGCAACUGAACUGAACUGUCUUAAUUUUCUCAUGCAGUCCUCAAAGCAGCUCUGGGCCGUGUCUCAUCACCCACUUCUACACGUGUCCAACUCUGCAAUUCAGGAUCAGCAAUUGCCCUGAAUCUCCCAGCUCCUGAGUAGUACUGAGAGGACUUGAACCCAGGAUUCUGAUAACAAUUCACUGGCUCUUUUUUUUUGUUUUUUCCACCAUUUAGCAUAUUCCUAGGGAGAUGCCAUUUUCUCAAAUGUUUGGGCAAUGGCAGCUUGGUUUAAGUGCGGAAUAAGUGUGUGGCCUCACAAUUAGGAGAUAAAGGAGACCACUGUGGAGAAGACCACUGUUUGAAAAAAAACAUAAAAAGGCUUUACUAUCGUGGUGAUAUGCUUACCACACCCGCUUCUAUACCCAUGGACUCACUUUUCCUGCCUCUUGUCUGCAAGUUCCUCCUCCUCCCCUGUCUCUUCUCCUCCUACUUCUCUUUUCUUCACUUUUUUUUUUUUUCAUCUUUCUCAAUGAUCCCUCUCCCUGAAAGGGAGAAAAGGCUUUCCAGAGCCCUCUGCUUAUAUAAUUUCUUCCUCCAUUAAUCUGUUGUCAAUUAGUUAAUAAUUAAUUACUAAGUGACCUACUAAUACUGGUUUGUUAGUACUCCUCUGAUGGCCUUUAUCAUAUUCUGCC